GGAGUGGNUUGUACCAGAAGUAGAUAGCUUAACCGUNAGGGGGGCGUUUACCACGGUAUGAUUCAUGACUGGGGUGAAGUCGUAACAAGGUAACCGUAGGGGAACCUGCGGUUGGAUCACCUCCUUACCGAACGAGCUAUAGNAAGUGUCCACACAG
rnacentral:misc_RNA from 1 species